AUUGAACGCUGGCGGCAGGCCUAACACAUGCAAGUCGAGCGGAGCGGCGGACGGGUGCGUAAUGCCUAGGAAUCUGCCUGGUAGUGGGGGAUAACGUUCGGAACCGGGCGCUAAUACCGCAUACUAUCAGAUGAGUCUAGGUCUGAUUAGCUAGUUGGUGGGGUAAUGGCCUAUCAAGGCGACGCUCCGUAACUGGUCUGAGAGGAUGAUCAGUCACACUGGAACGGAGACACGGUCCAGACUCCUACGGGAGGCAGCAGUGGGGAAUAUGGGACAAUGGGCGAAAGCCUGAUCCAGCCAUGCCGCGUGUGUGAAGAAGGUCUUCGGAUUGUAAAGCACUUUAAGUUGGGAGGCGUUACCAACAGAAUAAGCACCGGCUAACUUCGUGCCAGCAGCCGCGGUAAUUC
rnacentral:rRNA from 1 species